UGGAGUGCAAACACACCGCCUGAAAAGAGGUAAAAUCUUUCUUUCUUUUUAUAUGUAGGCCUGCUUUACAGAGAGAGGGAGAGAGGGAAAGCGAGUGAGAGUCAUUUAAGCUUUUGAUAAACACAGUGUUUGUUUUAUAAGGACCAUUCAUUUUCAGUCAGCAGAAGCAAAACGCCUUUGUUGUUUAAAUUAUAUUACACCAUUAAACUGUCAUUAGCCUCUUUAAUUUAACUUUAUAGAUGCAUUGUUUUCUUUUCUGUUAUAAUCUUCCUUGAAUCGUGUUUAAAGAUGCUCUAUAUCUUAUUCCUGUCUGUCCGCAGUGAGGAAUCAUGGGAGAAUUUAAAGUAACGCUGCUCAUCAUCUGUAUUCAUCUCUGUAUGGACAUUUCAAAUGUGAAAAGUGAAUUUAAAAGUGAAUUUCACUCCAAACACUCAUAAUGCGUGUCAUUUCUCUCUCUCUGGAGUCGGUUCAGGCAUUAAAGUGUAUGAAACCUGCAUGCCGACUGAAUGCAUGAUUUGUGAUCGUAUCAUAUCAGACUACGCCGACCCUUGCCCACAGUGUAACCAAAGCUGCUACAACAAUGUUUCGGCACAUUGCAGACGAGAGUUCAACGUGACCCUGAAUCCCAGUUCCAACACAGUCCAGAAAGGGAAAGGCGCAACUGUGACAUGCAUUCAUAACCUUCCCCGAGACAAUAUUUCCAUCAGCUGGAUUGUAAACAAGAAUUUAAUGAAGGGAGAUUCUAACAAAACAUUAGAGAUCCUCGAAAUCACAGAACAAAAAGAAAUCACCUGUAACAUCAGCAGCAUUUGUGGAAACUUCGUUAAUACCGCAACCAUUACUGUAUAAGGUUUAAAUGAAAUGAUGGUUAUAUUGAUCUGUGUCCUGACAGCGUUCCUCAUCCUGGUCUCUUUUGGCAUAGUCAUGAGGAUCAUUCAAAGCAAAGGACAAGCUCAGAGAGAGGCCAGGAGUAGACAACGAGAGCAGAACAUUCAGAACAUCCACAGCACUGCUACCACAGCCUCAAACUACUGGUGAAUACAGAAGACAAAGAGAGAGAAUAGAGACAUCUUCAGAUUUCUAGUUCUGGGUGUGUUCUGUAUACUAAUUUGAUACCGAAUGUUGUUAGUAAUCUCUCAAUUUAUUAAUUGAUAGUUUGUCUUGUAUGUCCUGUGUUUAUUUACACAACAGCGUUGUUGGUUUGUUGCUCCUUAUAUUCACUUGAUUUCAUUUCUUUUAUUCUAAAGAGCCGCUGUACAUAUGUGCUUUCUCACACAUGUUAAAUAGAAGAGAUAUUCUGCAAUGUAAACAUUUCUCACCAUAAUGUCUGAGCUGUAAUAUCAAAUGUUUGGGUCUUUACUGUAAAAAAG